rnacentral:rRNA from 1 species
GACGAACGCUGGCGGCGUGCUUAACACAUGCAAGUCGAACGGUAAAGCCCUGCCUUUGUGGGGUGCUCGAGUGGCGAACGGGUAUGUCACACGUGAGUAACCUGCCCUUGACUUUGGGAUCACUUCAGGUAACUGGGGCUACUACCGGAUAGGAGCUCCUGCUGCAUGGUGGGGGUUGGAAAGUUUCGGCGGUUGGGGAUGGACUCGCGGCUUAUCAGCUUGUUGGUGGGGUAGUGGCUUACCAAGGCGUUGACGGGUAGCCGGCCUGAGAGGGUGACCGGCCACAUUGGGACUGAGAUACGGCCCAGACUCCUACGGGAGGCAGCAGUGGGGAAUAUUGCACAAUGGGCGGAAGCCUGAUGCAGCAACGCCGCGUGCGGGAUGACGGCCUUCGGGUUGUAAACCGCUUUCGCCAGUGACGAAGCGUGAGUGACGGUAAUGGGUAAAGAAGCACCGGCUAACUACGUG